rnacentral:rRNA from 1 species
GUGGGGAAUCUUAGACAAUGGGCGCAAGCCUGAUCUAGCCAUGCCGCGUGAGCGAUGAAGGCCUUAGGGUUGUAAAGCUCUUUCGUGGGGGAAGAUAAUGACUGUACCCCAAGAAGAAGCCCCGGCUAACUCCGUGCCAGCAGCCGCGGUAAUACGGAGGGGGCUAGCGUUGUUCGGAAUUACUGGGCGUAAAGCGCACGUAGGCGGACUGGAAAGUCAGGGGUGAAAUCCCGGGGCUCAACCCCGGAACUGCCUUUGAGACUCCCAGUCUUGAGUUCGAGAGAGGUGAGUGGAAUUCCGAGUGUAGAGGUGAAAUUCGUAGGUAUUCGGAGGAACACCAGUGGCGAAGGCGGCUCACUGGCUCGAUACUGACGCUGAGGUGCGAAAGCGUGGGGAGCAAACAGGAUUAGAUACCCUAGUAGUCC